CCUACGGGAGGCAGCAGUGGGGAAUAUUGGACAAUGGGCGAAAGCCUGAUCCAGCCAUGCCGCGUGUGUGAAGAAGGCCUUCGGGUUGUAAAGCACUUUCAGUGGGGAAGAAAGCCUUGGGGCUAAUACCCUCGAGGAAGGACAUCACCCACAGAAGAAGCACCGGCUAACUCCGUGCCAGCAGCCGCGGUAAUACGGAGGGUGCGAGCGUUAAUCGGAAUUACUGGGCGUAAAGCGCGCGUAGGCGGUCUGAUAAGCCGGUUGUGAAAGCCCCGGGCUCAACCUGGGAACGGCAUCCGGACCUGUCAGGCUAGAGUGCAGGAGAGGAAGGUAGAAUUCCCGGUGUAGCGGUGAAAUGCGUAGAGAUCGGGAGGAAUACCAGUGGCGAAGGCGGCCUUCUGGACUGACACUGACGCUGAGGUGCGAAAGCGUGGGUAGCAAACAGGAUUAGAUACCCCGGUAGUC
rnacentral:rRNA from 1 species